rnacentral:tRNA from 1 species
GGUGCUGUAUUUCGGUGGUAGAGUGCUUGCCUUGAAUGCAUGAGGCCCUGGGUUUGAUUCUUCAGCACCA